rnacentral:rRNA from 1 species
CAAAAACAUGUCUGCUAGGGGCUUAGUUAGCWGUCUAACCUGCCCAUUGGUUUUACUAAAAGGCCGCKGUAUUUUGACYGUGCGAAGGUAGCAUAAUCAAUAGUCUUUUAAUUGAAGGCUGGAAUGAAUGGUUGGACGAGAUGGAGGCUGUCUUCUAUUAUAAAUUUUGAAUUUUACUUUUAAGUGAAAAGGCUUAAAUAAUUUAGUGGGACGAUAAGACCCUGUAAAGCUUUAUAAUUUUAUUUGAGUUAGCAAAAUUAGUACAUAAGUAAACUGUUAAGUUAAAUUGGUUAUUAGGUUGGGGUGACUAAGAUAUAAUAUAAAUUGAGAAACUGUCUUAUAAAAUAUAAUAAUUAUAAUUAGUUUAAGUGAUCCUUAAUUUAGGAUUAAAAGAUAAAGUUACUUCAGGKAUAACAGCGUAAUUUCUCUUGAGAGCACAUAUCGACAGAGUUAGUUGCGACCUCGAUGUUGAAUUAAGGUAGUUGUUAGGCGCAGCWGUUUAUAAAAUAGGUCUGUUCGACCUUAAAACCU